CCUUCGAUAGCUCAAUUGGUAGAGCGGGGGACUGUAGAUUUAUAUUGGUGAUCCCUAGGUCGCUGGUUCGAAUCCGGCUCGAAGUA
rnacentral:tRNA from 2 species